rnacentral:rRNA from 1 species
CCUACGGGUGGCAGCAGUGGGGGAUAUUGCACAAUGGGGGAAACCCUGAUGCAGCGACGCCGCGUGGGUGAAGAAGUAUUUCGGUAUGUAAAGCCCUAUCAGCAGGGAAGAAAGAAGACGGUACCUGACUAAGAAGCCCCGGCUAACUACGUGCCAGCAGCCGCGGUAAUACGUAGGGGGCGAGCGUUAUCCGGAUUCACUGGGUGUAAAGGGAGCGUAGACGGCCGUGCAAGCCAGGAGUGAAAGCCCGGGGCCCAACCCCGGGACUGCUCUUGGAACUGUGCGGCUGGAGUGCGGGAGGGGCAGGAGGAAUUCCUGGGGUGUCGGGGAAAUGCGUAGAUAGCAGGAGGAACACCGGCGGCGAAGGCGGCCUGCUGGACCGCGACUGACGUUGAGGCUCGAAAGCGUGGGGAGCGAACAGGAUUAGAUACCCCAGUAGUC